rnacentral:rRNA from 1 species
GCCAGACUCCUACGGGAGGCAGCAGUGGGGGAUAUUGCACAAUGGGGGAAACCCUGAUGCAGCGACGCCGCGUGGGUGAAGAAGUAUUUCGGUAUGUAAAGCCCUAUCAGCAGGGAAGAAAGAAGACGGUACCUGACUAAGAAGCCCCGGCUAACUACGUGCCAGCAGCCGCGGUAAUACGUAGGGGGCGAGCGUUAUCCGGAUUCACUGGGUGUAAAGGGAGCGUAGACGGCCGUGCAAGCCAGGAGUGAAAGCCCGGGGCCCAACCCCGGGACUGCUCUGGAAACUGCGUCGCUGGAGUACGGGAGGGGCAGGCGGAAUUCCUGGUGUAGCGGUGAAAUGCGUAGAUAUCAGGAGGAACACCGGCGGCGAAGGCGGCCUGCUGGACCGUGACUGACGUUGAGGCUCGAGAGCGUGGGGAGCAAACAGGAUUAGAUACCCCUGUAAU